GCAGCAGUGUGGUCUAGAAAACCCCCAGAACCUCAGGCACGCUGCCGAUAUUGCCUCUGCGCCUCCUAAAAUAUCUGUCUGCUUUUUGAUUUCUUGGCUGUCAAUAGAAAUGCAGCAUGGGCGUAAGUGGAGAGCAGCUAACCUGCACACCCAGCUUUGGUGAUCCCCACUUGUCACCUGAAACCACAUCUGAAGAGCUUCGUGGUGUGGCAGCAAGAGUCCCUGAGGAUGAGAGUUAUGGAAAUAACCUCUCCUGAGACCAUUUCCCAAGAACUCUGUGCCUUGGUCCACAAGAAAUGCAAUGCCAGAUCCACCCACAUCCGACAACAACUUUUUACGUGUUUGUUGUACACUGCACACAGCUCCCAUCCUUCCGAUUUCCCUGUUGGCUGUUCUGACCACUUGGCUCAGGAUUCUCUCCUUUGCUCCACGUCCUUUUCGGAAAGUAAAGCCCAAAGCUUUCCCAAGCUGAGCACGCCAGAAUGACACAUACACCUGCCUUCCAGGUUAUGGUAAUUAAAAAAAAAAAUUAAAAAAUUGUAGUAAUACAUUUUUCUUUUUCACAGCAUCCUUUUGUUAAAAGCUGAAGUACAAAUUGAACCCAUCAUAACUUCUCGAUUAUUUUCUUUAGAAUCAAAUAUUUUUCUCUCCAUUCUGCAUUUCUGCAGAUGACUUUUCCUCUGUAUAUACAGUAAGUACCUUUUACUUUCUCUCCCUGAUGAAUAACUUUUUUUCCAAUCAUUUCUCCAAUCUGAUUUCCAGUUCCACCCUCCAACAUACCUGCAGCUUUCCCAGGCUCACAUUCUUUGUGGAUGUAAUGAGCAUGAUCGGUUCUCUCACCCAGGGCACUACUGACACUAAUCCGUGAGACCAGCCUGCAGCACAGGACCCUGCUGGCUACAGGUUUCAAUUUGAUCAGUGUCUCAUUGAUAACUGAUCUCCAAAUAUGGUUUUCCAACUGGGAAAACUUUCAUCUUAAGACAAGUUUAAUUAAGACUAUGUUUCUUUAGCUUUGCAUAGGAGCAUAUAAGAGAGUUAUGAAGAGAGGGAGAGGUUAAACAGGGUCAGAGGUAUUUAUAAUUCUUCCUAUAAGGCAUUUAAUGGCUCUUGAUGAGGCAUGUGUGAAUAGUGAAACAGUUCCAGAAGUCUUACUUGAUGCCAAAAGUUAUCUGACCGUGCUACUGGACCAGUACAGCUGCUAAGAAUAUCAAAGUGACUCCCAGUGACAUGAAGGUACAGUCUGUACAGAUCAUACAAAGCCUAUUGCAGACCCAAAAACAAAUGCAAUGAGCUGUGGCAGAGAUGUCAUCUGUCUAAAACAUGGGGGGACAGAAAGCUAGAGAUCAUACACCAGAACUUACUGACGCUCAGAACUUGCAUGGUUCCAUUCCAGCUUUUCUACUAUUAAUAAUCUUGCAAACUCCAACUUUACUCCUCAGGAUGUGAAUGUGUCAUGGGUAUUGUGACAUGAAUCUUCAUGUGGUUUCCAACACUGCAUUCCUCCUAUUUCUGUCCCACCUUUCAGGGAAACCCAUGGCAGACUAAAAUAGAAGUCAAAGUUAUUAAAAUCUUCAAGAUAUUUUUACAGAGACUUCGCAUUUCAUUGGAGCUUCACAACACAACUACUAAAAGCCUGGGUGGAUUCACAGCCUUUGCUUAACAUUGAGGUAUAUCUUUUUUAAAAGGAAACUACCUGUCAAUCUAUGUAGUUAAAUAUGAGAGAAGACAAUAGUUCCAUUAGGAAAAUUAUAAAUUAUACCUCUCAGAAAGCCAAUACUUGAUAAACUAUUGAGCCUAUGUUUAAAGAGUAGAGUCACAAAGAUAUAAAUGAAAACGUAUACAUUGGGAAAUAAAUUAGAGUUCAGUAAUUAAUGUGAAUUGUAA
rnacentral:lncRNA from 1 species